UGGGGAAUCUUGCGCAAUGGGCGAAAGCCUGACGCAGCAACGCCGCGUGCGGGAAGAAGGCUUUCGGGCUGUAAACCGCUUUCAGCAGGAACGAAAAUGACGGUACCUGCAGAAGAAGGAGCGGCCAACUAUGUGCCAGCAGCCGCGGUGAUACAUAGGCUUCAAGCGUUGUCCGGAUUUAUUGGGCGUAAAGAGUUCGUAGGCGGUCGAGUAAGUCGGGUGUGAAAAUUCUGGGCUUAACCCAGAGACGCCACCCGAUACUGCUUAACUUGAGUUCGAUAGGGGAGUGGGGAAUUCCUAGUGUAGCGGUGAAAUGCGCAGAUAUUAGGAGGAACACCGGUGGCGAAGGCGCCACUCUGGAUCGAUACUGACGCUGAGGAACGAAAGCAUGGGUAGCAAACAGGAUUAGAUACCCUGGUAGUCCAUGCCGUAAACGGUGGGCACUAGGUGUGGGAUUCUAUUAACGAAUUCCGCGCCGUCGCUAACGCAUUAAGUGCCCCGCCUGGGGAGUACGGUCGCAAGACUA
rnacentral:rRNA from 1 species